AUUUUCUCCUCUCCCCGCGGAGGUUUAGUGAUAGAAAAUCAGUGCAUUAGCAGAACUUAUUAGUAAAAGGUCAAUUUGGAACUGAAAAUUUGUUUGCCAAUUUACUUGGGCCGAAUUUGGAAUUUAACAUGGCAAAAGCUUUGCACCUGGUACGGUUGAUGUCUAGAGCAAAUCUAAACCCUUAUUAUCCUGAGACAUGUUAAGGGCCCGUUUGAGGAUUCAAACCCAGAUUUGGGACUAAAGCCAAUUUUGCUGCCUCUUUGUUGUAGAGAAAAAUUGAGUUUCUGCCCAUUCAAACGUCAGUCAUAGAAAAGCAACAAAAUUGCUGUAAAUCUUUUCCCUUAUCCUCCAUUCUAUACAUAUUUACCGUGCUAAUUUUGAUUGAACUUCAAUUUAAGAGCUUGAGUUUAGAAUUUCAAAUCCUAAUUACUGGCAAAAGUUGAAAGGUGGAUAUCAAUGGAUCCUCGGAGCGGCAUUGAUAUAUUAGCACGAGCAAAGAGCUGAUGGUGUUCUUAUGAUUCUUCUGAACAAUCGAUACAUUGUUACGGUCAAUUUUGAAUUCCGUGCAAAUAAUCCAAUCAAAUUAACUGCCUCCAUUUUGCCAUUUUUCAUCUUCCCCAGGGAAGAUGGUAACCAUUCCUCAACCCUCAACUUUCCAGACGCCUUCCCUUCACUGUGCUUCCAGAAGCAGGAAAAGCAGGAAACAGAAACAACUAGAACAAAGGCACAAACAACUCCACCAAAACAGAAAUAGAACCGCCCUUUCUUUCCCAAGUUCAUUCCCAACCCCACUACUAAUCAACCACAAACCUCAUACCCAGACCAAACUACAAGCCUUGGACAAUGUCGUUAAAGACCUCGAAUACUCUAUUGGAAAGGGCAUAAAAAUCGAUACCCAAAUCUUCUCUUCCCUCUUAGAAACAUGCUACCAGUUAAAUGCUAUUGGUCACGGUAUCAGGAUUCACCAGCUGAUACCCAACACUCUUUUACGUAAAAACACGGGUAUUGCAUCGAAAUUAGUCAGGCUUUACGCUUCCUGUGGGCAUAUGGAUGAAGCUCACAAGUUGUUUGAUGAAAUGGCUAACAGAGAUGAGUCGGCCUUUGCUUGGAACUCGGUCAUUGCUGGGUAUACUGAACUGGGUCUAUAUGAAGAUGCCAUCGCUCUUUAUUUUCAAAUGGAAGAAGAAGGUGUUGAACCGGACCAAUUCACUUUUCCUCGCGUGUUGAAAGCUUGUGGGGGACUUGGUCUAAUUCAAGUUGGCGAGGCAGUGCACAGGGAUUUAGUCCGAUUGGGGUUCGCAAAUAAUGGGUAUGCGCUAAAUGCUCUUGUUGAUAUGUACGCUAAAUGUGGUGACAUUGUUAAGGCUCAAAGGAUAUUCGACAAGAUCGCUUCUAAGGACUCUGUUUCGUGGAAUUCCAUGCUCACGGGUUACGUUCGUCAUGGGCUACUAGUGGAGGCAUCGCAUACUUUUCAUAGGAUGCUUCAAGAUGGAGUUGAGUUGGAUUCAUUGGCAAUUUCCUCAAUUCUUGCAAAUGUAUCUUCUCCACAGCUAGGAAUUCAAAUUCAUGGAUGGAUUAUUAGGAGAGGAAUGGAGUGGGAUUUAUCCAUUGCUAAUUCCUUGAUUUUUAUGUACUCAAGUAAUGGUAAGUUGGAUCAAGCACGUUGGUUGUUUGAUCAUAUGCCGGAAAGGGACGUCGUCUCAUGGAAUUCCAUAAUUUCUGCUCAUUGUAAAGACCCUGAAGUGUUAUCUUACUUUGAGAGGAUGGAGAAGGAUGUUGUUUUGCCAGAUAAUAUCACAUUUGUGUCGAUCCUAUCUGCGUGUGCUCAUCUGGGUUUGGUGGAGGAUGGGGAAAAACUCUUUUCAUUGAUGACAAAUAAGUAUAGAAUAGAACCCAUCAUGGAACACUAUGCUUGUAUGGUGAAUCUUUAUGGGAGAGCAGCGUUGACAAGGGAGGCCUAUGCCAUAAUAACAGAUAAAAUGGAAUUUGAUGCUGGUCCAACUGUUUGGGGAGCAUUGUUAUAUGCUUGUUACCUCCAUAGGAAUGCAGAUAUAGGGGAGAUAGCUGCUCAAACUCUUUUUGAGCUGGAGCCAGAUAAUGUACACAAUUUUGAGCUUUUGAUGAAGAUUUAUGGUGAUGCAGGCAGGUUGGAGGAUGUAGAGAGAGUGAGAACAAUGAUGAUUGAUAGGGGAUUGUGAUUGGAAAUGUGCACUGGUACGAUCUAUAAACAGAGGAGAAAUCACGCUUGUGUUAGCCAUGCUCCCGCAGCUGUUAGCCGAGUCGCAUCUUCCUCAGGUUAGGUGUAGUCGACUCGCCAUAACCCACAUUAUGCUAUAGGCUUCUUUUUCUUUCUUCUUUAGUUCCUUUUUCCCCCCGAAAAAUAAAAAUAUUCAAAACUAAUAUGAUUUGUGAAUGGUAUCGAGGACCAAUUGAAUUAUUGCAUAUACUUUGUUUAUAUAAGAUAACAAAUUACGUACAAUGUUUUCACUUAAAUUUUCUUUUUCGCUUUAUGUGCUUUGGGAGACAAAUGGUUUUCACAUUAAUUUUCUCACGCUUUUUUAAGGCAUUUACACCUCCG
rnacentral:misc_RNA from 1 species